GCUGGUGUUGUGUACUCAGGUGAAUAAUAUGUUUGUGAUGUUACUCUGAGUGCAUAUCCACACUGGGCGAGCUUGAAAAAUAUGCCCGGCCACGGUGGGAUUCGAACCUACGACCUUUGGAAUACUAGCCCAAUGCUCUUCCAACUGAGCUACGCGGUCAGGACGGUUCGAGUAAGUGAUAUUUCGGAACAAUAUCUAGUUCCUUCAAUACCAAUGUGUUCUUGUAAUAUGAAUUUUUUUUUUUUUUUCUGUGCUGGUGUUGUGUACUCAGGUGAAUAAUAAUAUGUUUGUGAUGUUACUCUGAGUGCAUAUCCACACCGGGCGAGCUUGAAAAAUAUGCCCGGCCACGGUGGGAUUCGAACCUAUGACCUUUGGAAUACUAGCCCAAUGCUCUUCCAACUGAGCUACGCGGUUCAUAUUACAAGAACACAUUGGUAUUGAAGGAACUAGAUAUUGUUCCGAAAUAUCACUUACUCGAACCGUCCUGACCGCGUAGCUCAGUUGGAAGAGCAUUGGGCUAGUAUUCCAAAGGUCGUAGGUUCGAAUCCCACCGUGGCCGGGCAUAUUUUUCAAGCUCGCCCGGUGUGGAUAUGCACUCAG